CACUGGGUCGCGGUAGCAGAUAAACCAUGGGAACAGCUCUCCUUCCCUCUGCCUUUGAAUUUGUGUGGGGGGCCAGUGUGAGCAGUGAGUGCCCUCACCGGAUGCCCAGGUCCCAGAUGGGUCGCGUUGCACUGGCUCCUCCAAUGUGACUGUCAGGUCUGUUUCCUCUUCGCGACCCCACCUCGCCCCCCACCCCCCAGGUCGCUAGGGGGGCUGCAGCAGGCACAUUUCUGCCCUGCCUGUUUGGGAGUCCUGGCAGAGCCUUCUUGCAGGUCACAACCCGCCUUCUUGGGGGUUCCAGCUUGAGGGGGAGAGGGGGAGCAGCAAGGUCUCAAAUAUGCCCCUGAGGCUUCUGCUUGCCGUCCUGAUUCUCUGCAACUGAGCCUGUGGGGCAGACCCUUGGCUCUGGUCCCUGGGCAGCUCCUCUCGGUUGGUUGUCCCCACUAACACACACAGAUCUCAUACUUGGGUGGAUGAUGGAUAAGGUUGGUCCCUGGGGAAACGCUAGAAAUUGGAUCACUUGGUCUACCCAGUCUUGGAUAGUGAACGGAGCCUCCUGUGUGGACGGAAGCCCAAGAGGGUUGGACCAACCUCCAGCCCAGCCCUGGGUCCAGGUUGAGGUGGGUUUCAUCAUUAAAUGCUUCCUGCAGUUUCUUAAUUCUUCUGAGGUCUAUAAAAGUGGACCAUACAAGGUGCAGUAGGAAGAGAUCACCAUCCACAGUCGGGCUGAGGCUGAAAGCACGUACCAGAUCAAGUAUGAGGAGCUGCAGACGCUGGCUGGGAAGCAUGGGGAUGACCUGCGUUGUGCAAAGACAGAUCUCCGAGAUGAACCAGAACAUCAGCAGGCUCCAGGCUGAGACUGAGGGCCUCAAAGGCCAGGGGGCUUCCCUGGAGGCCGCCAUCGCAGAUGCCGAGCAGUGGGGGGAGCUGGCCAUUAAAGAUGCCAACACCAAGCUGUCUGAGCUGGAGGCCGCCAUGCAGCGGGCCAAGCAGGACAUGGCACGCAGCUGGGUGAGUACCAGAAGCUGGCCCUGGACAUCGAGAUCGCCACCUACAGGAAGCUGCUGGAGGGCGAGGAGAGCCGUCUGGAGUCUGGGAUGCAGAACGCUGGAAUGCUAUGGCGUGAUCUCGGCUCACCGCAACCUCCACUUCCCAGGUUCUAGCGAUUCUCCUGCCUCGGCCUCCCGAGUAGCUGGGAUUACAGUCUUGCUGAGGCUGGAAUGCAGUGGUGUGAUAAUGGCUCACUACAGCCUCAACCUCCUGGACUCAAGUGAUCCUCCCACCUCAGCCUCCUGUGCAGCUGGGACCACAGGCAUACACCACCAUGCCCAGCUAAUUUAGAGCCACUCUCCUGAUGCUCAUUAGCAAGCCAGCCUCUGGCCCCUCCUAGGCUUGGUGAUAUCACCCCUCACCUGUCGCAGCUCCUGCCUCUCUCUUCCCAAAAACCUCUGCAGCUUUCACUUCCCCAGCAUGAUCUUAGUUUAGGCUUUCACAAAAGACUGGAAGAGCAGUGGCCUGGAAGCAACAUCUGAAAUAUCAACUUUUUUGUGACCAGAGACACCAAGGGGGAUUGGCAAGAGGAAAAGAUGGAGUCGGAGGCUCCAGGCUCAGUCCUUGGAGCUCUUCUCUCUGUAUCCUCUUUCUAGGUGAAAUUCACCCAUAUGUUGAUGACAUUCAAAUUUACGUCUCCAACCUGGAUCUCUCUUUUAAACACCAGACCUACUUGAGAUCUCCACUUGGAUGUAUUAUAGGCAUUUCAACAUGGCCAAAACCAACUCCUGAUACUCCCUCCCCACUUGCUCCUGCUGCUGCUCCCAUCUCCGUUAACAGUAAUUCUAGUUUACUAAAUCUCAGAUGAAUGUUUUGGAGUUAUCUUUGACUCCUCUUUUUAUUUCACGCCCAUAUUUAAUGCAUCAGCAAAUCUGGAUGGUUCUGCCUGCAAAAUAUAUCCAGAAUUCAACCACUGCUCACUACCUCCUUUGCCUCCACCCUGGCCCAAGCCACCACUAUCUCUUGCUUGGUUUAUUGCAAUAGCCCCCUAACGGUUCUUCCUACUUCUUCCCUACCUGCAGUGCUUUCUCAAAAUGGUAGAUAGAGUGGUCCUGUUAAAAUGAAAGCCAGAUCAUGUCACUCUUCUGUUUAACACCCUCCAACGGCUCCCAUCUCUGGUAGAGGAAAAUCCCAAGUCUUUACUAUGACCUACAAGGGCCUAUUGGUAGAUUAAAGAUAGUCACAAAUUAUUUGACACUCUUCCCAUUGAAAGGUAUAUUGCUAUCUCCCUUUCCAUGACUUCUUUGACCAAUGAAAUAUGGCAGAAGUGGCCAGUCGCGGUAGCUCAUGUCUGUAAUUCCAGCAUUUUGGGAGGCCAAGGCAGGUGGAUCCCUGAGGUCAGGAGUUCGAGACCAGCCUGGCCAACGUGGUGAAACCCCGUCUCUACUAGAAAUAUGGCAGAAGUGCCACUGUGUCUGUUUCUGUGUCCAGGCCUUAGAAGACUGGCAUUUUCUAUUUCCUGUCUCUUGAAACACUUGCUCUUGGAACCUUCAGACACCAUGUAAGAAAUCCAGCUAUUCUAAUAGAGACCACAUGGAGAGGCCCUGAGACUACAUGGAGAGGAAGAGGGGCCUAGCUGAACCCAGCCUUCCAGCUAUCUCCCCCAGGCACCAAACAUGAGAGUGAAACCACGUGGAAUCCUACAGACCAACCCAUCUGCCAGUGAACAUCAGAGUGACCUUAUUUGAUGCUAGUAGAGCAGAAAAAAAUGCCCAGUUGAAUUUUGUCCAAAUUCCUGAUCCACCAAUUGUGAGAUACAAAAAGGUGGUUGUUUUAAGCCACAAAACUUGAGAUAGUUUCUCAUGCAGAAAUAGAGAACCAAACCAGCUAAUCCGACCUUGCCCCCUUCCAUCAUCUUCAUGACCUCAUUUACUGCCUUUUUUUUCCCUCAUGCCUCUCUAGUCAUCGCUGCUUCCUUGCAGUUCCUCAAAUCCUCCAGACCAGCUUCUGCCCAGGACUUUUGCAUGUGCUGUUCCCAGUGUACAUUCUUCCACCUGCACAUAAAUAAAGCAGUGUAA
ensembl:lncRNA CDK5R2-AS1 CDK5R2 antisense RNA 1